CAUCUCUAAGCAGAUCAAUAUCGUAGUUUGAGGAAUAAUCAUUUUAUUGGAGAGGAAAGGAAUUCACUUCUGGAAAUGGAUAGUUUGUCAUAUUUGUCGAAUCGAGAGAGAUCAGCUGGCUCCAAGUAUGAUCUGAAAGCUAUCUGGGAGAAGAGAAUUGAAAAGCAGACGGAGUGGAUGGAGCAGGAAAAGAUCAGGUUGAACAAGAGUGCCCUUAGUAGACUCAUCAAAGAAUGGAACCAAAGGCUUGAAAGCAAAAAAAAGCUGAUGCAAAGCUAUCAUGAAGAUGACAAAAAGAAACCUGUCGUACCAAUUGAAAGUCCUGUUCAGCAAGUACCGUCCAGUGCUUAAUUAUUGAAGAUGCACUAAGGCCAAUUUUAGACAGUGAAAUGCUGACAUUAUUUAAAGGACUCAAAUAAUAAAAUUAGUUAGACAUAACUAUCCCCUGUCUACAUGUGUAGGGUAGGACACCAUGGCUUCUUGAAUUCAUAAUUAUGCAUGGUAUUACUAUUUGAAAAAAAAACUUAUCAAACUCACUUGUUCUAAUAAUAUGUUC